rnacentral:lncRNA from 1 species
AUGUAUGUAUCACCACAGAAUUCUGGACAGACAGGCCGAUUUGUGUGUCAGAUAGUAGGUUCUCAUGUUCACUUGUUCCUUGCAGAUUGGAGGAGAGAACAGUUCCAGAAUGAAGGACUUCAGGAAAAAUAUGAUGAUCUUCAAAAGAAAGUCGAAGAACUUCAGGAAAAAAUUGAAGGACCACAGAACUUAGAUCAAGUCCAGAAAGAAAUGGCUAGGAUGAUGGCUCUGUUCAAGGAUGAUUGGAGGAGAGAACAGUUCCAGAAUGAAGGACUUCAGGAAAAAUAUGGUAAAGCCUCUUUAUAUCCCUCACCACCCAAACACUGUAGAACACCUGUGUUCGUGGUGUGUAAAGAUAUCCAGCUUUUAACCAACGUGUCACCACUGGCUUGCCCUCUGCCAGAUCUCUGCUAUUCUAGCACAAUAUUGCCGUUAGGGACUCUCCCAUAUUCCUCCCUUCUCUGCUCUUGCAAAGCCUGUAUGUUCCAAUAUAGUUGUGGUCAAGUGUAAACUCGAGGGGCAUCCCUGCACUGACUCUGAGCACAUGACCCAAGUGUCCCCAGGUAUUCGUAGACUUCCCAUUGUUUUACCUAGGAAUUUUUAUUUAGAACCAAUGAGAGUAAUUUUCAUUCUUUCUUUUACUUCAUUGACACAGC